UACGUAGGAUGCAAGCGUUGUCCGGUUUUAUUGGGUUUAAAGGGCGCGUAGGCGGCCUAUUAAGGUAGUGGUGAAAACGUUCGGCUUAACCGGAUACCCGCCAUUGAUACUGAUAGACUUGAGUGCGACAGAGGGUGUUGGAAUGUGUGGUGUAGCGGUGAAAUGCUUAGAUAUCACGCAGAACACCAAUUGCGAAGGCAGAUGCCUAUGUCGUAACUGACGCUGAGGCACGAAAGCGUUGGGAGCAAACAGG
rnacentral:rRNA from 1 species